AGAAGCCGUAUGAAAUGAAAAUUUCAUGUACGGUUUUGAAACAAAGUUUAUUCAGUUUUUAAAAACUAUUUAAACGAUUGUAAC
rnacentral:ncRNA from 1 species